GCAGUCGUGGGGCAACAUGAAAUCUGAAUAAGAUUUUGAUGGCGACCGGCGAACGGGUGCGUAACACGUACGUAACUUACCUUUUGCUAGAAAAUAGCCUGAGGAAACUUAGAUUAAUAUUCUAUAGAAUAAAAAAUUCGCAUGAAUUUUUUAUUAAAGCAGUAAUGCGGCAAAAGAUAGGCGUGCGUCCGAUUAGUUAGUUGGUAAGGUAAAGGCUUACCAAGACAAUGAUCGGUAGGGGACCUGAGAGGGUGACCCCCCACACUGGUACUGAGACACGGACCAGACUCCUACGGGAGGCAGCAGUGAGGAAUAUUGGUCAAUGGAGGAAACUCUGAACCAGCCACGCCGCGUGCAGGAAGAAUGCCUUAUUAGGUUGUAAACUGCUUUUGUAUAGGAAUAAAAAUUUUUACGUGCUAAAAAUUCUGAAGGUACUAUACGAAUAAGUGUCGGCAAACUCCGUGCCAGCAGCCGCGGUAAUACGGGGGACACAAGCGUUAUCCGGUUUUAUUGGGUUUAAAGGGUGCGUAGGCGGUUUGUUAAGUCAGUAGUGAAAUAUUUCAGCUCAACUGAAAAAUUGCUAUUGAUACUAAUAGACUUGAGUGAGACUGGAGUAACUGGAAUGUGUGGUGUAGCGGUGAAAUGCAUAGAUAUCACACAGAACACCAAUCGCGAAAGCAGGUUACUAAGUCUAUUUACUGACGCUGAGGCACGAAAGCGUGGGGAGCAAACAGGAUUAGAUACCCUGGUAGUCCACGCCGUAAACGAUGAUCACUAGUUGUUGGAUUUUUUUCAGUGACUAAGCGAA
rnacentral:rRNA from 2 species